rnacentral:lncRNA from 1 species
UAGAAACAUCAGACACUGUAGGAGAAAGAGCCAAAGAACAGGAGGCAACAGCCAGACUUGCAUGUUAGAUGGUUGGAGUCUGAAAAUAUCCAGAGUAAAGAAAGAUGCCGGAUGGAGAGCAGUGCUCCCCUCGCACUUCGGUUCUGUAAAUGGCAGUGGAUGAAGACCGCAGACGCUACUGGGUUCACAGAAUGUGGCUGCCACCAGCAUUCUCCAAAGACUUCCCCUGGCAAAUGCCAAUGAAAUGAAGGGGAGCCACAGGCUUCCCAGAGGCUCAGGAAGCAGAAACACUGAGGCCUGGUUGGAAAGAGAGCUGUAGGCAAAGGAACGGCUGCAAACAAACUGGGUGGAAGGAAAAUCCAUCCAUCCUUCAGAAUGCAGUCAUGUCUGUAUUUUUCUAAAUUCUCAUUGGGGAACAUGUUCUACAAUAAGGAAAACAUGAGUCAAAGACCCCCAGCCCUGGUGAGGUUGACCGCCUACUUCCUCCCCCAUUCAGGGCUGCCCAGCCAGUCCUGCUGGUAAACCCACCACCCUGCCUUCCACCUGCCUGUGUUCUAGUCCAUCUGUCUCGUCUGAUUGGGAUCCUGUGCCAUCCAUAUCAUAUUCAUCCCUGAAUCUCAGCACCUGGCUCUGGAAAGAAUUCAGUAAAUGUUCAUUACAUAAAUUAUAUACUCAGUUACCAAAAUGGGUAACAGAAGAAUGGAAAUUAAAAAGUGGGUUCUGGCUGGGAACGGUGGCUCAUGCCUGUAAUCCCAGCAUUUUGGAAGGCCGAGGCAGGCGGAUCACUUGAGGUCAGCAGUUUGAGACCAGCCUAGCCAACAUGGUGAAACCCCAUCUCUACUAAAAAUACAAACAUUAGCUGGGCAUGGUAGCACAUGCUUAUAGUCUGACCUAUUUGGGAGGCUGAGGCAGGAGAAUCGCUUGAACCCGGGAGGCAGAGGUUGC